rnacentral:rRNA from 1 species
UACAUGUGGGGCAAGCGUUACUCGGAAUUACUGGGCGUAAAGCGUGCGUAGGUGGUUUCUUAAGUCUGCUGUGAAAGCCCCGGGCUCAACCUGGGAAUUGCAGUGGAUACUGGGGAGCUAGAGUGCGGUAGAGGGUAGUGGAAUUCCCGGUGUAGCGGUGAAAUGCGUAGAGAUCGGGAGGAACACCAGUGGCGAAGGCGGCUACCUGGACCAGCACUGACACUGAGGCACGAAAGCGUGGGGAGCAAACAGG